rnacentral:rRNA from 1 species
AUGAACGCUGGCGGCGUGCUUAACACAUGCAAGUCGAACGAUGAAGCCCAGCUUGCUGGGUGGAUUAGUGGCGAACGGGUGAGUAACACGUGAGUAACCUGCCCUUAACUCUGGGAUAAGCCUGGGAAACUGGGUCUAAUACCGGAUAGGAGCGCCUACCGCAUGGUGGGUGUUGGAAAGAUUUAUCGGUUUUGGAUGGACUCGCGGCCUAUCAGCUUGUUGGUGAGGUAAUGGCUCACCAAGGCGACGACGGGUAGCCGGCCUGAGAGGGUGACCGGCCACACUGGGACUGAGACACGGCCCAGACUCCUACGGGAGGCAGCAGUGGGGAAUAUUGCACAAUGGGCGAAAGCCUGAUGCAGCGACGCCGCGUGAGGGAUGACGGCCUUCGGGUUGUAAACCUCUUUCAGUAGGGAAGAAGCGAAAGUGACGGUACCUGCAGAAGAAGCACCGGCUAACUACGU